UACGUAGGGUGCGAGCGUUGUCCGGAAUUAUUGGGCGUAAAGAGCUCGUAGGCGGCCUGUCGCGUCGGUUGUGAAAGCCCGGGGCUUAACCCCGGGUCUGCAGUCGAUACGGGCAGGCUAGAGUUCGGUAGGGGAGAUCGGAAUUCCUGGUGUAGCGGUGAAAUGCGCAGAUAUCAGGAGGAACACCAAUGGCGAAGGCAGCUCGCUGGGACGGUACUGACGCUGAGGAGCGAAAGCGUGGGGAGCAAACAGG
rnacentral:rRNA from 1 species